GACGUAGGGGGCCAGCGUUGUUCGGAAUUACUGGGUGUAAAGGGUUCGUAGGCGGUGCGGCAAGUCGGGAGUGAAAUCUCUGGGCCUUAACCCAGGAGGCUGCUUCCGAAACUGCUGUGCUUGAGUGUGGGAGAGGCGCGUGGAAUUGCAGGUGUAGCGGUGAAAUGCGUAGAUAUCUGCAGGAACACCCGUGGCGAAAGCGGCGCGCUGGACCACUACUGACGCUGAGGAACGAAAGCUAGGGGAGCAAACAGG
rnacentral:rRNA from 1 species